CGCCCUCCCUCGCUCAACGAGGGAAGAGCGGGGCGGCGCCCGCGCGUUACGUGAUGGAACUCGCCAGGCGGGCGCAACAGGAGGCCCGCCCGAGAGGAGUGCGCAGCCGGCGCGUCACGUGACUCUCCCUGCCAACAGGCUGAAUGAAGACUUCAGAGAAUCUAGAGGAGGAAGGCUCCUUAAAGGGAAAUCAUGCAGACAGAUCAUCUCCAUCUCCUUCAUUUGGGCUGGAAAUAAAACAUGAUGGCUGUGAGUAAUGCUUCUGGGCUGUUAGGUAGAAGCCAUGUGGCAGAGCAAUGGGGUAGAAAGAUUCUGUGUGCAUGAUGAUCAUAAAACUGUUAUACCAACUCUGGAUGACUUACUUCUGGACUUCUUUUAUGUAAGAGAGAAAUGAAUUUAUAUAUUGUUUAAGGGCACUUAUUAUUCACUGUUUUCUCUUUCUCAUCUAUACCCAAUUCCAAGAGACAGAAGGAUCCAUUAGGAUCUUCAUAUAUUGUUCUAUCUUGGAAAAAGUAAAAAAAAGGAUCUGACUAUAUCUCCAUGAUACUCUUCACCCCAAAUAUUACCCUCUUUCCACGUGGCCUAUGAAAACCAAAGACGUCUGGACAGCCUCUUCAAAGACAGGAAACUUGUCAGUUAAUCCUAGUUUAUGAAU